UACGUAGGUGGCAAGCGUUGUCCGGAUUUAUUGGGCGUAAAGGGAGCGCAGGCGGUGACUUAAGUCUGAUGUGAAAGCCCACGGCUCAACCGUGGAAGGUCAUUGGAAACUGGGUCACUUGAAUAUAGAAGAGGAAAGUGGAAUUCCAUGUGUAGCGGUGAAAUGCGUAGAUAUAUGGAGGAACACCAGUGGCGAAGGCGACUUUCUGGUCUAUUAUUGACGCUGAGGCUCGAAAGCAUGGGUAGCAAACAGGAUUAGAUACCCCU
rnacentral:rRNA from 1 species